CAGACGACUCCACUCCACAGGCAGCUUGACCAGGGCUACACCUAAUCCUCCACACCAUCAGCAUCAUUGUAGAACUCUUCCUCUGAUGAAUGAUUGCAAGGUGAGUAUAUGACAUACUCAGCAAGCCACGCAGCAAAUAUGCAAGUGCACAGGAUAACAAAGGAUGGCAUAAUAGGGUUUCAUUUGCAAAAGCAGCAUUUAGCAAACAUUUGAGAAUUUAAUAAAACAGUUAAGUAUUAAACAAUAUUAAUCCAACGCUAUACAACAUACCCUGUUGUAUAGGCCCAACCAUUCUGAACAACCAUCCCGGCUGCACAGUUCUAUCUCCAAACCAGGAA
rnacentral:misc_RNA from 1 species